rnacentral:rRNA from 1 species
UACGUAGGGUGCAAGCGUUGUCCGGAAUCAUUGGGCGUAAAGCGCGUGUGGGCGGCUUGGUAAGUCAGCUGUGAAAGCCCAGGGCUCAACCCUGGGAUGCCGGUUGAUACUGCCAAGCUCGAGUCCGGAAGAGGAGUGUGGAAUUCCUGGUGUAGCGGUGAAAUGCGCAGAUAUCAGGAGGAACACCAAUGGCGAAGGCAGCACUCUGGGACGUGACUGACGCUGAGACGCGAAAGCGUGGGGAGCAAACAGG